rnacentral:rRNA from 1 species
UACGGGGGGGGCAAGCGUUGUUCGGAAUUACUGGGCGUAAAGGGCGCGUAGGCGGUUUGCUAAGUUGGAUGUGAAAACUCUGGGCUUAACCCAGAGCCUGCAUCCAAAACUGGCAAACUUGAGUACUGGAGGGGAAAGCGGAAUUCCUGGUGUAGCGGUGAAAUGCGCAGAUAUCAGGAAGAACACCCGUGGCGAAGGCGGUUCUCUGGGACGUAACUGACGCUGAGAACGCGAAAGCGUGGGGAGCAAACAGGAUUAGACUACC